GCAGUCGACCGGUCUGUCGCUGAUGUUGUAGAACAGAAGAGGAAAGUCCGGGCAACAUAGAGCAUCCUACUUCCUAACGGAAAGCUAUCUGCGAAGGUGGAGUAAUGCAGAAGAAAAUAACCGCCUGGUUUCGGUCAGGUAAGGGUGAGAAGGUGGAGUAAGAGCCCACCAGCCACAUGGUGACAUGUUGGGCUGUGCAUCUUAGGAGUUGUAAGGUCAUGUAAACCGGCAUUAAUGAGGGUUGCUCGCCCCACGUCGGAGGGUAGACCGCUAGAGCUCAUUGGUGACAAUGGGUGUAGAUAAAUGACAGGCGCUUUGUCGAAAGGCAAGGAACAGAACCCGGCUUAUAGGUUGACUGCUUUU
rnacentral:RNase_P_RNA from 1 species